rnacentral:rRNA from 1 species
UACGUAGGGGGCUAGCGUUGUCCGGAAUCAUUGGGCGUAAAGCGCGUGUAGGCGGCCGGUAAGUCCGCUGUGAAAGUCGGGGGGCUCAACCCUCGGAUGCCGGUGGAUACUGUCGGGCUAGAGUGCGGAAGAGGCGAGUGGAAUCCUGGUGUAGCGGUGAAAUGCGCAGAUAUCAGGAGGAACACCAAUUGCGAAGGCAGCUCGCUGGGACGUUACUGACGCUGAGACGCGAAAGCGUGGGGAGCAAACAGG